GUUGCGCCCGAAGCCAUUAGGCCGAGGGCACGCCUGCCUGGGCGUCA
rnacentral:rRNA from 1 species